rnacentral:rRNA from 1 species
ACUCAAAGGAAUAGACGGGGACCCGCACAAGCGGUGGAGCAUGUGGUUUAAUUCGAUACAACGCGCAUAACCUUACCGAGGCUUGACAUGGAGUGCAAAACUGCGGAAACGCAGCGGAGGUUAUCACUACACAGAUGGUGCAUGGCCGUCGUCAGUUCGUGCCGUGAGGUGUAUGGUUAAGUCCUAUAACGAACGCAACCCUUGUCUUUAGUUACUACUUGUAAGAGAGGACUCUAGAGAGACUGCCAGUGUAAACUGGAGGAAGGAAAGGACGACGUCUGGUCAUCAUGCCUCUUACGCCUCGGGCUACACACGUGCUACAAUGGUUGCUACAAAGGGUUGCCAACUUGCAAAAGUGAGCUAAUCCCAAAAAAGCAACCUCAGUUCGGAUUGAAGUCUGCAACUCGACUUCAUGAAGCCGGAAUCGCUAGUAAUCGCGGAUCAGCAGUGCCGCGGUGAAUACGUUCUCGGGUCUUGUACACACCGCCCGU